GUGAGGAAUUUUCCGCAAUGGGCGAAAGCCUGACGGAGCAAUGCCGCGUGAAGGAUGAAGGCCUAUGGGUUGUAAACUUCUUUUCUCAGAAAAGAAUUAUGACGGUAUCUGAGGAAUAAGCAUCGGCUAACUCUGUGCCAGCAGCCGCGGUAAGACAGAGGGUGCAAGCGUUAUCCGGAAUGAUUGGGCGUAAAGCGUCUGUAGGUUGUUUAAAAAGUAUUCUGUCAAAGAUUAGGGCUUAACCCUAGAUAGUCAGAAUAAACUUUUAAGCUAGAGUUUGGUAGAGGCAGAGGGAAUUCCCGGGGGAGCGGUGAAAUGCUUAGAUAUCGGGAGGAACACCAAAGGCAAAGGCACUCUGCUGGGCCAAUACUAACACUGAGAGACGAAAGCGAGGGGAGCAAAUGGGAUUAGAAACCCCUGUAGUCC
rnacentral:rRNA from 1 species